GUGCCAGCAGCCGCGGUAAUACGUAGGGGGCAAGCGUUGUCCGGAAUCAUUGGGCGUAAAGCGCGUGUAGGCGGUUCGAUAAGUCUGCUGUGAAAGUCCAGGGCUCAACCCUGGAAAGCCGGUGGAUACUGUCGGACUAGAGUGCGGAAGAGGCGAGUGGAAUUCCCGGUGUAGCGGUGAAAUGCGCAGAUAUCGGGAGGAACACCAAUUGCGAAGGCAGCUCGCUGGGACGUUACUGACGCUGAGACGCGAAAGCGUGGGGAGCAAACAGGAUUAGAAACCCCGGUAGUCC
rnacentral:rRNA from 1 species